rnacentral:lncRNA from 1 species
UGGAUUUUGAGAAGCACCUGCUGGCACUGACAGCUGUCUUGGGGAACACAGGUGCUCCUGCCGGAGUCCUCACGCUCUGUUCACGUUGCAGAAGGCCCCCUGGUAAGGCCAGCCAGCCGGAGGACCACCCCGCAGACCACACGCCCAGGGCCUGGCACCGAGGGGGAGGCCCCGAUCAGCAGGUGAAAGCGACACCCUGAUGACACUGGCUAGUUCACCUUCACUCUGGUCAUCGUUUACUGUACCCCGGGGCAGCUGCUGCCUGAGCCCUAUGACCCCAACCGCCGCAGCCUCUGGCUGCCUCACUGGCCCAUCAUUAAUACGUCGAUGGUGAGCGCACUGGUGUACAGCGAGGGGGCUCCACUUCCGAGACCCCCGGAGAGGCCCGUCCUGGUGGAGUUCACCCUGCUGGAGAUGGAGAAGCGAACCAAGCCUGUCUGUGUGUUCUGGAACCAUUCCCUGGCACCAAGAGCAGUGAUGACCUUCUAGCUGGAAUGGCCAGAGGGGUAACGGUGACUAAUGGUGCUAAAGGGAAGAAAAGCACCUGCCCAUCUGCAGCACCUUCGGCAUCUGCCCCUGCCAUGACCACCGUGGAGAACAAAUCCAAGAUUAGCACAGGAAGUCCCUGUUGCGAGUGAGGACAAAGUGUGGGAAGGCCGUGAGGGUCUGCAGUCCCAGAUGGCCUUGGCCUCACCCCGCAGUGCGCUUUUGCACCAGAGUGCCACCUUCUUCUCCAGGUCCAGGUCUUCAGCAGUGACCCCGGACCCCAGCUGUAAGGGAGGUGGCAGCAUCAGAGGCUCCCCUUGCCUGAGUGGCAGCAGAGGAAACUUGCGUCUAUGGGGCCUAGAGGCCUGGGAUGUGGGGGAGCCAUUCCUGGGGGCAAGUGUCUGCCCUGGUGCUGCAUCUGCUGCCUUUUCACACUGGGUGAGACCCCAAGAGACAGCCUGAGGCCGGUCCUCACUCACUGUCUUUGAGGACCUGAGGGGCAGCUGACAGUGGGAUGAGGCUGGCCCCCUCCUCUUUGGUGAUAGGAAGCCUCCCAUGGAACUGUAGGAGCUCACGAUGGCAUUUUGUUUGGUGCACGAGCUCAUCCAGGAGGUCUGGGAUCUCUGGUUAUAUCCGACUUCUGACCUCUGGGCAUGGAGGUCUCUCUGCAGAGGCCCGGGCCUGGGCACAAAGGGAGAGAGGCCUCCAUUGUCCCACGGGGGCCUAAAUGCAGACUGUGCAUCCCCGGUGCCCUCAGGAACCCUUCUCUGAUCAUCAGGAUUCUCUUGGACUCUGGGGUCCUUGUCCUGCUCAGGCAUCCCUGCCCCCCUCUUCAGGAGGGCCCUCAACACGAUCUUCUCUGGACAGGAGUCUAGGGCAAAACUGGAUGUUGUGGGCCCCAAAGGGGUGACUCCCUGCUCCUAGGCCCCACAGAGAGUCCUUGUGCUCAGUGCGCUGGCUUAGCUGCAAGACAUCCUGGAAUUGGGAGCACGUAGCACCGGCUUGCUGUGGUACCUGUGCAUUCAAAUUGAAGGCAGGAUCGCCAGCAAGGAACACAGGGCUUGCAGGACCACGGAAAACCCUUGGAGUUGUUUUGACACACCACUGAUGCCAAGUGUCUGGGUACUUGUAGGAUGGCCCUGCCAUUCCAUCCAGGGGCAGUGGCAACAGGGAGAUUCCACAAACAAAGUGAACUGGGGGAUGGGAUGAGCAGGCUCCAGGCAACUGAGCCCUACUGGCAGGCCCUUGGCCCCCGGGGCCGGGACAGGGGUGACAGACACAGAGUGCCCAGGUAACCACUCCUGGGAGCAGUGGGGAACCGUCGGAUGCUUCAACUCUUGAGAGCUGGGCUCUAAGCAUCCGCCUUAGCUGCCAACUUGGCCAAAGGCUAUGUGAGCAGUUUCCCCUGUUGACGGGCAAUGCAUCUUUCCAACCUGAGCGAGUGGGUGUGCGUGCAAAGAUGGUGCGAGUCACGGAUCUGCGCGGGAAGGGUGACCUUAAGGGAUUAGCAUGGCCAGGUAUGCACACAAGGCACCUGCUGGCAAUGCCUUGGUGGGGAGCGGGCAGUGCACACAAGAGGUACUGGAGGGAGAGGCGCGCGGGAAGAACAGGCGCGCACAAUGGCUGCAGAUCCACCUGUGGAUCGCUGAAGAUUCCUGCUGAGGGUUGAGGCUGCUGGGCUGGAGGACUGUAUGGUCCAUGCAUUGUAAUGACCCCUUCUCUCCCUGGCCCGGAGCCCCAGGAGCUAUCCGGACUCUCUCCAAGACCUGGUUCUGGCCCAGCAAAGAGGUCUCGGCAGGGGAGCAGGAUUCCCGGCCCAGCAGCUGGCUCAGGAGGUGACAGCUUUGGGAUUCGCAUCUGAGCAUCCUCCUGCUCUUCUCCUGGGAACUCUGUUGGGGAGGGUUGCUCAGAACAGAAGUGCCUGGGACGCCCAGGCAGCUGGGGUGAUGGCCAGGGCAGGCUGGGAGGGACAUACUUUCCAUAGGACCCAGUGCUUUCAUCUCCGUGCAACUGACCAAGAGAAACCAAACCCAAACUCCUUCCUUUACACAGACCAAUUUGAGGGAGGCUGGGUAUUGUUUGUGUAUUUCAACCUAACAAGAUUUUGAGAUAGUUGGAAUGCAGAAGGAGACAGGAGGACUCAAGUGUCCUGUCUUUUGCAAAAAUGUCAAACGUAGCUACUCAGUCUCUUUUUUGUUUUUUUGUUUGUUUUGAAGACUAUGG